GCAGGAGAAGCAGAGAGACAGACUCUUUGAUAAGAUGGAGACCUUCAAAGAGACGGCGGCCUGGUUUGAAAGCACCUGACACGUCAGCAGGCCCCUCCCCCUUCAGUUUCGGUGAACCAAACUAAUCAUUAACAAGAGAAUAAUUCACGGAUCUAGAUGGAAACAUUCAGACACGUUCAGACGGAUGUUUCUCCUCCCGGGUCACGUUGUCACAGAAGGUCACGGACUAUCAGCGAGUGACCUCGAGGGAACGACACGGCGACCGACAGCUGACGACCCGCAGGACCGAAGCAGACAAACAGAGUCACACAUUCAGGAGAAGACACAGAUUUGAAGAAGUCAGGAAUGUGGCAGAACACGCCGACAUUCCUGCAGGACUCAGACUCCGCCCACACACCCACACACCCCCACACACACACACACACACACACACACACACCUCCGCUCUCUGUUGACUCUCCACUGUUCCACAACGUUCAGUAUCACUCCAACAACCUGCGGGAGGGAAAGUUCACUCUGGAAACUCACUAUAUAUUUUAUGUAUAAUCUUUGAAAAAAGAGUUGAAGCUGGUGAUGGAGCUCCUCGUUUUCAUGAGAGAAAAUUUCAUUUUUUUGGGCCUGAAACUAUUUUUCUUCAUAUAAAAUGACAGAAAUAAAAUCUCAAACUAUUUUAAAGAUUAAAGAAACUUUUCUCGUUGACAUUUUAA